AUCUCCUGGGGAUCUUAUUAAAUGCAGAUUCUGAUUCCGUAUGUCCGGGUUGGUGUCUAAGAUUCUGCAUUUCUAAUAAGCUCCCAAGUGAUGUUCG
rnacentral:pre_miRNA from 1 species